rnacentral:rRNA from 1 species
AUUGAACGCUGGCGGCAGGCCUAACACAUGCAAGUCGAACGGUAACAGAAAGAAGCUUGCUUCUUUGCUGACGAGUGGCGGACGGGUGAGUAAUGUCUGGGAAACUGCCUGAUGGAGGGGGAUAACUACUGGAAACGGUAGCUAAUACCGCAUAACGUCGCAAGACCAAAGAGGGGGACCUUCGGGCCUCUUGCCAUCGGAUGUGCCCAGAUGGGAUUAGCUUGUUGGUGGGGUAACGGCUCACCAAGGCGACGAUCCCUAGCUGGUCUGAGAGGAUGACCAGCCACACUGGAACUGAGACACGGUCCAGACUCCUACGGGAGGCAGCAGUGGGGAAUAUUGCACAAUGGGCGCAAGCCUGAUGCAGCCAUGCCGCGUGUAUGAAGAAGGCCUUCGGGUUGUAAAGUACUUUCAGCGGGGAGGAAGGGAGUAAAGUUAAUACCUUUGCUCAUUGACGUUACCCGCAGAAGAAGCACCGGCUAACUCCGUGCCAGCAGCCGCGGUAAUACGGAGGGUGCAAGCGUUAAUCGGAAUUACUGGGCGUAAAGCGCACGCAGGCGGUUUGUUAAGUCAGAUGUGAAAUCCCCGGGCUCAACCUGGGAACUGCAUCUGAUACUGGCAAGCUUGAGUCUCGUAGAGGGGGGUAGAAUUCCAGGUGUAGCGGUGAAAUGCGUAGAGAUCUGGAGGAAUACCGGUGGCGAAGGCGGCCCCCUGGACGAAGACUGACGCUCAGGUGCGAAAGCGUGGGGAGC